AGCGAGCGGGAGGAAAAGGGCUCAGCCUCAACCCCUUUGUUUUCCCCCGAAGUCAUGAAUCUUUCCGGUGGUUUGGGGGUCGAGCCUCUGACAUCUGAGCCGAGAUGUUCACAGGUGUUAACUCUGCUCCCAGAGCAGUGGGAUGUUUUGAGUACUACAGAAUCAGACAAGUUUGGCUCUAAAAACACAGACCCCCCUCCUCUCCAGGACUAACCCCCCUGCCCCAGGGUGCUGCACAUGGAGAGAGGUUCUGCUGGAGCCCCUCAUGCUCUGUUCAGACAGUGCCAUGUUUGGUCACUGGGUUCAGCUUGACCUGCUGCACAUCUCUCAAAAUAAAGCUGACAUUUC